UGAGUCUCACUCCCUGGUCAUGAGACUCCUCCCCUCCACUGAUGGGUGUGCUAGUUGGCAACCCAGAGGGGAAUCCCACCACAACAGUCAGCUUUGCCCCCAUGGGCCAGAGAUUCCUUCUCCCAUCUAGAUGCACCCAUGACUCUAGCUGGGGAAUCUCUGGUUCAUUCAGGUGGCACUGCUGGGGGCUUGGGAGCCCCAGUAUCACCAGAAAAAUGGAUCAAAAUAGCACCUGGAGGGAUUUCCAUGACAGUCCGCUGGCUAAAGCGCCACACUUCCACUGCAGAGGGCGUGGAUUCGAGGCCUGGUCGGAGGAGCUAAGAUCCCUCAUGCCUAAAAACAAGUGAAAAAAAAACAAAAUGGCACCUGGAGUCUCCUCUUUUAACGUUACUAAACUGGCUGGGUACGAGUACAUUUAUACAGUUGACUUACAACAGGUGGAACAGAAUUCAGAACCCAUGGAAGAGCUGGUGUCCAGAGGUGAUGUCACACAGGCCGUGGUCCAAUGGGGUUCAUAGCCCUGGAGCUGGAGAGAGACUGGGCUUCUAGAGUGAGCUCUUCAACCUUGUGUCUUAAUUCCUCUCACAGGGAUGAUUCGAUCCCUCUUUCUCAAAUUAUAGGUUUGAUAAAAUAUCCUGUUCCCUGCAGGGUUUUUUUGUUGUUAUUUAAAAAAAAAAUUUUUUUCCAGUUGGCUUUCAUCCAGAUCUAGAGGAUUUAACUGUAGUGUUGUGAGAGAUGUUUGACCUCGAGAUCAUGAUCGCCAUUGGGAGCGCCUUACUGAUUACAGCUUUCGUGCUCAUAGGCGUCGUCAUCUGGCUUUACUACAAAGUAGCCAACACGUUAAAUGCUGCAAAGACACCCAUUGCUACGGCCAUUACCUGUAGUGAUCAAGAUAAGGUCACCGAAGCUGCAACCUCCACCCCCGAGUCUUACCCCAGUUUCCGGUGCUAUGAAGAAUGUAACUUGCCUGCCAACUUUGAUCCCCUGACAUCGUGCUUCUGUGACAUAAACAAGGGACUCAAUACAGAAUGAGUAAUAGAAGGUGGUUAUGAACACCAACUGCCACCAUCUGACUAGUUACAGAAACAAGGACUCUGUCGUGAAUAUUUCCUCCUUAUUUGUUAUGAAUAUGUUGUAUUUACAUACGUUAAGCAAA